rnacentral:rRNA from 3 species
GGAAAGAUGAAAAGAACUUUGAAAAGAGAGUUAAAUAGUACGUGAAAUUGUUGAAAGGGAAACGAUUGAAGUCAGUCAUGCCUGUGGGAAUCAACUUAGAGGAAACUCUGAGUGCACUUCUUCGCUUGGCAGGUCAACGUCGAUUUUGGAUGUCAUAAAAUGAUUGGGGGAAGGUAGCUCCUUCGGGAGUGUUAUAGCCCUUGGUAGAUGUGAUGUCUGGGAUCGAGGAUUGCAAUGGAUACCCUUUGGAGCUAGCCGUCUGAUCUCUAAUUGGUAUUGGGUUACGGAUAGCAUGCUGACCGUGAUCUAAUUAUUGGUUAAAAGGUUAGAGCGUGCAUAAAUUCAUUAAGGACGUUGACGUAAUGGCUUUAAACGACCCGUCUUGAAACACGGACCA